UCCUCCCUCUGGCGGCGUGCCUAAUACAUGCAAGUAGAACGCUGAAGAGAGGAGCUUGCUCUUCUUGGAUGAGUUGCGAACGGGUGAGUAACGCGUAGGUAACCUGCCUUGUAGCGGGGGAUAACUAUUGGAAACGAUAGCUAAUACCGCAUAACAAUGGAUGAAACAUGUCAUUUAUUUGAAAGGGGCAAUUGCUCCACUACAAGAUGGACCUGCGUUGUAUUAGCUAGUAGGUGAGGUAAUGGCUCACCUAGGCGACGAUACAUAGCCGACCUGAGAGGGUGAUCGGCCACACUGGGACUGAGACACGGCCCAGACUCCUACGGGAGGCAGCAGUAGGGAAUCUUCGGCAAUGGGGGCAACCCUGACCGAGCAACGCCGCGUGAGUGAAGAAGGUUUUCGGAUCGUAAAGCUCUGUUGUAAGUCAAGAACGGGUGUGAGAGUGGAAAGUUCACACUGUGACGGUAGCUUACCAGAAAGGGACGGCUAACUACGUG
rnacentral:rRNA from 1 species